rnacentral:rRNA from 1 species
AUUGAACGCUGGCGGCAGGCCUAACACAUGCAAGUCGAACGGUAACAGGAAGCAGCUUGCUGCUUCGCUGACGAGUGGCGGACGGGUGAGUAAUGUCUGGGAAACUGCCUGAUGGAGGGGGAUAACUACUGGAAACGGUAGCUAAUACCGCAUAACGUCGCAAGACCAAGGAGGGGGACCUUAGGGCCUCUUGCCAUCGGAUGUGCCCAGAUGGGAUUAGCUAGUAGGUGGGGUAACGGCUCACCUAGGCGGCGAUCCCUAGCUGGUCUGAGAGGAUGACCAGCCACACUGGAACUGAGACACGGUCCAGACUCCUACGGGAGGCAGCAGUGGGGAAUAUUGCACAAUGGGCGCAAGCCUGAUGCAGCCAUGCCGCGUGUAUGAAGAAGGCCUUCGGGUUGUAAAGUACUUUCAGCGGGGAGGAAGGGAGUAAAGUUAAUACCUUUGCUCAUUGACGUUACCCGCAGAAGAAGCACCGGCUAACUCCGUG